UCUCUCUUCACAUAGGAGAACACUCCGGCUUCUUGCAGAGGACAGCAGCUGCCAGGCAGCUUUGCCUCUUGUGAGAAGAGUGGCCAUGGGACCCACUGGGCUGCUCCAGGUGUUUCCUCGCCUCCUCUUCUGAAAAUCCAGGGCGGUCAUGCAGGCUUCUCCAGGCUGCUCGGUGUGGUCAGGCCGUGAGUGGUUCCAGCAGGCGGGGGCCUAUGUCGGCGCCGCAGGGGGUGCAAGUUAACCUGCAUUCCAUUGCAGGGGGUGCAAGUCAACCCACAUUCCAUCGCCUCCUCCUAUCUGCCCGCAGCAGCCUUCUUGUUUAUUAGGCAUCACCCCGGCAAUCAAUUCAUCUGAUCUUCACAGUAGCCCUGCAAGACACACUGGGAGGUUCUGGCCUGUGGAGGUGCCCGUCAAGGUUUGAGCGAGGGAGAUGACAAAGAAGUGAAUGCAGGAACCAUCACUGGCAACUCGAGCAAAGGCCCUCCAUUCAGUCCUUACGUCACUGAAUCUUCCCAGGGGCCCAGUGAACCAUGACUGAUGCUCACCCUCAUUUGCAGAAUUGUCUUGAGCAGAAGAUCCUGGGAACAUGGUGGCCACCUAGGGAUUUAGGGAAGCCACUCUAGCACUCUGGCAUUGAUUGUCCUGGCAGGAGACAGAUGACAUCAGUUACUGGAGUUCCCGGCUACAAUGGAGAUACGGCCAAGGGCAUGCAGUCAGCACCCAGUGACUAUCUAUGGAAUGAGCGAACCAAGGAAUGAUAUCUCCAGCUCCAGUGUUCCAGAGUUUCAGAUGUGGCUCUGUUUCAUCCGCAUCCUGGCUGCUGUGGUUCAGAGAACUUGGGUGGCAGACUCACUGCCAGCAGUGGGGAGCAGUCCCUGCCCCACGUGGGCCCAGACUUGAGGUCCCGGAGUAAGCACUUCUUGCUCCAAGCCACCUUCUAGAGAGAUGGGAGAAAGGACAGGGAAGCUAGGAGUUUCUACCACCAUCUGAGGCACUGUGGAUGGAGAGAGCUGCUGGAGAGACAGGAGUGCAAGGGCCUGGCAUGGCUCUUCAGCUCUGGAGAUGUGGAACAGGCCACUUGCCUCUCAGAGGUGCUGUGGCAGAGCCUACCUCCUUGGCCGUCUCAGAAGUUUGCCUUAUGUCUAAAGCUUCCUGGGCCUGCAGCACAGGGUGCCAGUUUUGCCUAUGGGGCAGCCAGCCCUCUACCAAUGAGGUUAGAGUUGGUGGUGUACACUCCAUUCCUCAGCGAGUGAGCCUGAGACCUGUCCUCCGCCAGCC